rnacentral:misc_RNA from 1 species
GAAAUGCGAUAAGUAAUGUGAAUUGCAGAAUUCCGUGAAUCAUCGAAUCUUUGAACGCACAUUGCGCCCUCUGGUAUUCCGGGGGGGGCAUGCCUGUCCGAGCGUCAUUGCGAACCCCUCAAGCACGGCUUGUGUGAUGGGCCCUCCCGCGUCUUGGUCGUCAAGACGGGCCCGAAAUGCAGUGGCGGCUUCGCGGUUAUCCGAUCAGCCAGAGCGUAUGGGGACUCUCUCUCUGUCACACGCCCGCGGCGCGGACCGACGCCUGUCGACCUUUAUUCAUCUUUUCUCGGUUGACCUCGGAUCAGGUAGGGAUACCCGCUGAACUUAAGC